rnacentral:lncRNA from 1 species
AUGGUCACAGCCUUUGGUCACACACAGGUGUGGCUUCUAUCUUUGAGAAAGGUCAUACCCUGUGACCAUCACUCACCCCAGCUCCUCAGAGAGCCCCUCAACAUUUCAGACAUAAACAUUUUUGAAGUAUCUUCCACCAAUCCAGAGGCUUAUAGUUCUGAAAUCCCUGUAUUGGGUCCAGAUUGGAUUAUUUUAAUAUUCCAGGAAGAUGCUUUACAGUUGAGACAUUUUCAGUUCAAUUCACAUUUUCUACUUGUAAUUUCUAGCUGGAAAUUACCUAUGGAAGCUGAGUCACCUACCUCGCUCCUGGAGCCCACUGGCUGUUUCCAAGGCCUUCUUCAUUAUUCAAACCACGACUCCAUCACAGGAAUACCCAAAGCAACAUUUGAUAGUUGUGGAAGAUUUUUACCCUCACAAGUCAUGAAUACUUUCUGUUUAUCGCUUACACUGAGGAUUUAUGACUAUCUAAGUGUUGUAUUUCCGAAGGGAAGCAUCCUAUCCUCAGAUCCAUUCUGCUCACGUCAGAAUACCUUUGAAGACUAGGCACUUAUUAUUUCUACAAUGAAUCUGUUUCCUCCAGACUCCCGGCUGUCACCGUCCUGACCUGCCACCUGUGUCACAUCCCAUCAAGUGCUGUGGAUGAGCCAGGUACCAGUAAACCAGCCCCCGAGGCUGGAGAAAUGUUGGAUGUAGAUGCUCACAGAAUCAUUCAUCAAAUCUUGGAAGCUUCGGAGAGAAGUGCGUAAAAUGAAAAUUUAGUUCCAGAGAAAUAGAGCCUCAAUUUAAUACCAUCUACCAAAGCACUGCCACGUCUGUCAUCUU